UCUUACAGCCGCGAAGGUACGAAAGUAAACUUCAAUAUUGUUUUAAUUGUUACUGUAUUAUCUGUUUUAAAACCGUUAAUCUAAUUGUGAUUUGUUUUGUCAAUAUUACGGUGCCUUGUUUUCAUAACAUUCAACUCUUCAUUGGCUUUGAUUUAGUUAACAUUUUUGUGUAAAUAGAAUAAUGUCAAUAAGCUCUGGUUCAGAUUUGUCUGAUUAUGAAGACAUUACUGAUACAUUAUAUAAAGUAGAAGAAAACACUACAACUUUGAAAGAUAACACCAAGCCCUGCAUUUGCGAUUUAUUUGAGGAAGCUACUCGAUUUCUUCAUAGUUAUGAAAUCAUUAAUUCUGUUAGGUUUGCUGCCCUUUACACUCCAUAGAGCUUUGAAAGUUCAGGUAUAGUAUAUAUUUUUAACUGAAGCUAACAUCUGGAAAAGCAAUGAUAUUUGCUAUUAUGAACAGGCUUGGUCGGGAAGCGGGAGCGAUC